GGUGACACCACCCUAGUGUGUGUCCCUGCCCAGUCUGAUACUAUCCAGUCAGUGCUGCCAGUGUCAGACUGUGCAGGAAAACUCCCCCCCAACUGGUAACACCCAGUUAGACCUUUUAUUGCAGACU